rnacentral:rRNA from 1 species
GAUGAACGCUGGCGGCGUGCCUAAUACAUGCAAGUCGAGCGAAUGGAUUAAGAGCUUGCUCUUAUGAAGUUAGCGGCGGACGGGUGAGUAACACGUGGGUAACCUGCCCAUAAGACUGGAUAACUCCGGGAAACCGGGGCUAAUACCGGAUAACAUUUUGAACCGCAUGGUUCGAAAUUGAAAGGCGGCUUCGGCUGUCACUUAUGGAUGGACCCGCGUCGCAUUAGCUAGUUGGUGAGGUAACGGCUCACCAAGGUAACGAUGCGUAGCCGACGGGAGAGGGUGAUUGGCAACACUGGGACUGGAACACGGCCCAGACUCCUACGGGAGGAAGCAGUAGGGAAUCUUCCGCAAUGGACGAAAGUCUGACGGAGCAACGCCGCGUGAGUGAUGAAGGCUUUCGGGUCGUAAAACUCUGUUGUUAGGGAAGAACAAGUGCUAGUUGAAUAAGCUGGCACCUUGACGGUACCUAACCAGAAAGCCACGGCUAACUACGUGCCAGCAGCCGCCGUAA